CCCGUUGAUCCUGCCGGAGGCCACUGCUAUGGGGGUCCGACUAAGCCAUGCGAGUCAUGGGGCGCGCUCUGCGCGCACCGGCGGACGGCUCAGUAACACGUCGGUAACCUACCCUCGGGAGGGGGAUAACCCCGGGAAACUGGGGCUAAUCCCCCAUAGGCCUGAGGUACUGGAAGGUCCUCAGGCCGAAAGGGGCAUCUGCCCGCCCGAGGAUGGGCCGGCGGCCGAUUAGGUAGUUGGUGGGGUAACGGCCCACCAAGCCGAAGAUCGGUACGGGCCAUGAGAGUGGGAGCCCGGAGAUGGACACUGAGACACGGGUCCAGGCCCUACGGGGCGCAGCAGGCGCGAAACCUCCGCAAUGCGGGCAACCGCGACGGGGGGACCCCCAGUGCCGUGGCAUCGCCACGGCUUUUCCGGAGUGUAAAAAGCUCCGGGAAUAAGGGCUGGGCAAGGCCGGUGGCAGCCGCCGCGGUAAUACCGGCGGCCCGAGUGGUGGCCGCUAUUAUUGGGCCUAAAGCGUCCGUAGCCGGGCCCGUAAGUCCCUGGCGAAAUCCCACGGCUCAACCGUGGGGCUUGCUGGGGAUACUGCGGGCCUUGGGACCGGGAGAGGCCGGGGGUACCCCUGGGGUAGGGGUGAAAUCCUAUAAUCCCAGGGGGACCGCCAGUGGCGAAGGCGCCCGGCUGGAACGGGUCCGACGGUGA
rnacentral:rRNA from 1 species